GUGACUUUGGGCAAAUUAAUCUCUCUAGACCUGUUUCUUCAAUCUAUAAGGUAAAGGAUUGGGCAAGAGGAACUUAAGAUUCCUUCUGACUCUAAAAUUCUAAGGCUCUGUGAUUUAACAAACAUUUUAUUUAUAGACUACAAACAGCGGAACCCUCUGUUGGUUGCUAUGGGGAAGGGGAGGUGCAGUAAGAAUACAGAAGAAUGAACUUCUCUCCAGGUGGAGUGAAGGCUUGUAAGAGACGGCCUCUUAACUGGAUGUGAGCAAGAUGUGAGC
rnacentral:lncRNA from 1 species